rnacentral:rRNA from 1 species
AAAGAAACCAACAGGGAUUGCCUUAGUAGCGGCGAGUGAAGCGGCAAAAGCUCAAAUUUGAAAUCUGGCACUUUCAGUGUCCGAGUUGUAAUUUGAAGAAGGUAUCUUUGGGUCUGGCUCUUGUCUAUGUUUCUUGGAACAGAACGUCACAGAGGGUGAGAAUCCCGUGCGAUGAGAUGUCCCAGACCUAUGUAAAGUUCCUUCGAAGAGUCGAGUUGUUUGGGAAUGCAGCUCUAAGUGGGUGGUAAAUUCCAUCUAAAGCUAAAUAUUGGCGAGAGACCGAUAGCGAACAAGUACAGUGAUGGAAAGAUGAAAAGAACUUUGAAAAGAGAGUGAAAAAGUACGUGAAAUUGUUGAAAGGGAAGGGCUUGAGAUCAGACUUGGUAUUUUGUAUGUUACUCUCUCGGGGGUGGCCUCUACAGUUUACCGGGCCAGCAUCAGUUUGAGCGGUAGGAUAAGUGCAAAGAAAUGUGGCACUGCUUCGGUAGUGUGUUAUAGUCUUUGUCGAUACUGCCAGCUUAGACUGAGGACUGCGGCUUCGGCCUAGGAUGUGCAUAGCUUAAGUCGCCC